UACCAGCACCCCGAGUGGUCGGGACGAUUAUUGGGCCUAAAGCAUCCGCAGCCGGUUCUACAAGUCUUCCGUUAAAUCCACCUGCUUAACAGAUGGGCUGCGGAGGAUACUAUAGAGCUAGGAGGCGGGAGAGGCAAGCGGUACUUAGUGGGUAGGGGUAAAAUCCGUUGAUCCAUUGAAGACCACCAGUGGCGAAGGCGGCUUGCCAGAACGCACUCGACGGUGAGGGAUGAAAGCUGGGGGAGCAAACCGG
rnacentral:rRNA from 1 species